rnacentral:rRNA from 1 species
UACGUAGGGGGCUAGCGUUGUCCGGAAUCAUUGGGCGUAAAGAGCGUGUAGGCGGUCCGGUAAGUCCGUUGUGAAAGUCAGGGGCUCAACCCUUGAAUGCCGGCGGAUACUGUCGGGCUAGAGUCCGGAAGAGGCAAGUGGAAUUCCCGGUGUAGCGGUGAAAUGCGCAGAUAUCAGGAGGAACACCGGCGGCGAAGGCGGGUCUCUGGGCCAUAACUGACGCUGAGGAGCGAAAGCGUGGGGAGCGAACAGG